GAGAGGGCGGAGCCAUGGCGUACUUCCUUUGGCGCGCGCUGUGUGAAAGUUAAAGCUGCGACUCAAAUCGUGCAGUCAGUCCAGUUUGCUUCAUGUGGUUUAGUUCAGGUUAGGAUUUGUUGGGAAAAAAAUAUUUUUUCGUACGUGCUCUAUUUUCAAUGGCCAGAGGCCUGUCGGUUUCCCUGUCGACCCUGCUCCUGUCUGGCUUCUUAUCAGCCGCGGACCGCAAACAGCAGCUCAGUGCUAAGAAGAUGAGUGUUUUCUUCUUUGCAAACUCACAGAAACCGUUGAGAGUGACUCAUACAAGGAAACUAUCGUCAUGGCACCCAGCAAGCUUCCAAUAGGACGGUGAGCAAGAGAAAGUUCUUCAGUGUUUGACUCAACUGCUGCAGCUGGACACUCGCACAAUGUGGAGUCUGUCUCUAGUGGAAGAGGAGUUUGUCAGCUGUUUGACAUGCUGUUGCUAAAACUCCUGGAAAACCCCACCAUAAGCCACGUGAAGAGCGAGUCCACCAGAGUUGCCAUCAUUCAUGUGCUAGGAAUCACAGUGAAGAAAUACAAUCACAUGUUGGAGAGAUUGGUCAGAAGUCAAGUGAGGAACUAGCCAGAGAAGGUUCAGGUGUGAAGCUUUUUGUCUGAACCUAGUACUCUGGAACCCUAAACCAUGAUCCCAAACAUCAGUGUUCUCCUUACACACCUGGAUGGAGAGAGUCCGAGUCUGCAGGUGGCUGUGUGUGAGGGUUUUGUCUGGUGAUGAGCUGGAUGAUUCUGGUCAUGCAAGCAGAGAUCGUUUCCUGGAAAUGCUGCAGGAGCACAUCCAUGAUGCCCACUCACAUGUCAGAGCACAUGUGCUUCAGUACUGAGAAGGAGGUGGUUCUCGGUAAUUUGGACAUGCUAUGGGAGAGAAGGUUGCAGAAUAUUAUUUGCUGGCUCAAGACACAUUUAUCACCAUCGCUAACAUAACAGACCAUGUGAGGGAUAACGCAAUUUACAACCUGCUGCCAGACAUCAUCAGCUGAUUAUCUGAUCCUGAAUGUGGAAUGAAGGAGGGGGACUUCAACACCAUUAUGAAAUAACUCCUCUCCUACAUCACUAAAGAGAGACCGAGAGUUUAGUGGAGAAGCUCUGCCAAUGAUUCAGAACCGCAAAGGCGUGACAAACCGAACUUAGAUGACAUUGACCUCACAACCCCAAGGAAAUCUUGCUCUCAUCCCAAACCUGCCAUCGCCUUCACCAGUGAUGAGGAAGAGGAUGCUGUCAUGACUGAGAGUGAGAUGCCAACACCCAUCGCUCGCAUGUGACAAUGAGCACUUUUUUUUUUUUUUUUUUUUUAAAUACCUCUAUGUAAUUUGGUUUUAGACAGAUGAGGUCUGUGACUGUAAUUUUUAAUUGUUUAAUGUUUUAGUUGCCAUCAAAUAUGCUAUAUCGGUGUCUGUAGGUUUUUAUUAAACUUUUUCCAUGGAGCUGAAUUGUGUUUUUGGGCAGUUUUUAUUGCAGCCCAAGUUUGUUGCAACGAAAAGGGAAAAAAACGAUGAUUAAAGGGCCUGAGUCUAAAAAUGA